CCUUGUGUUAAUGAUUCUUGUAUUUUUUUUAGCCAUAUCCUCAAGUCUUCUCCAUUGGUGAGUUCAGUGUGAGCGUUAAAACGGAUCCUGCUCACAUGGGAACUUUUCCUGCCUGUGAAGACCAGUAUUGUUUUCCCGUCGGUGUGCUGCCAGUGUACACACGCAGCCAUUAAGCUCCUUACAUGGUUGCUCGCUAGAGCCGUCUGCUCCUACAUCCACGAGCUCUGCCACCUAGCCAGAAGGAGGGAAUGCUGUGGGAUCUAAUGCGCACGAGCCGUUUGAAGCUGCGGAAAAAAGCAGUUCAGAAACCUCCGUGCCGUCCUCCACCGGCUGCUGUCGGUGUGUUAGUGGAUUCUCCAGCCUUUCCAGCCGGGCGCGUGCCUCUGUUUUGCAUAUAUGCAUACGCUGUGUGGCGCUGGAAUGAAGGGGGCAUGCUAAACAAGCAAAUUUACAUGUCUAUGCAUAAUGGCAGGGGGCGCAGAGGAGGGCGCGUGCUGGCAGGGCUGAGGGAGGAGGGGAGAAGUACAAGAGGAUGUGAUGUAGGGGAACACCUGCACUGAAGGAUCUUGGAGGAUCUUGUAGAGGAACAUUAUGACAAGCCCCUGACAGCUUUCCCCCCACCACCGCCUCCUCCUGGGAACAUACCAGGAGGUGUGGCAUGAUUACGUUUCCUCGCCUUGCCCACGUGGAAACGCACCUCGCUGGCACAGAUUGGACAGCUCUGCUGAGUGUGGCACUGACAGUCCUGUGGGAAACCCACUGCUUCAUUCAGGCUUUUUCUCUCACGGGUCUUGGAUGGAUGGUAACGGUGACUGUGUGAAUGGACACUUAUGGAUGCAUUGUGAAAAUUGUUCUUUGUUCUGGAAGUUUAAACGAACAGGAAAUUACUUUGUUUUUCAGUAACAUUUUCAUACUGAAUUGAACAUUGAUGGCUUUUUCUGCUUCUUCACUUGCUGGGUAAAAUUUUGGACACACUUGACUGAAUUUGUUUCUCAUUUUCUUAAAAUCCUAUUUUAUCUCCAGACUAAUGACUUAACAAAUAUACAUUGCACUGCAUACUUAUUUAAAGUGAAACACUAUUUUAAUUAUUUUCUUUUUUUCUGGAAAAGUUGGAACAAGCAGUGAAGGAAAAGCAGCCAUCACGUUACCAGCACAAAUGGGAAUUCCUUCAAUAUUGAUGUAAAAGAAUCCCAGGAUGCACCCUGUGAAGUUGGCUGAGAGCUGGAAUCUGGCUAUAUUGAGAAAACAUUGUUUCCAUAGAAUCAUUUAGUUUUUUUUUUUUUUUCAUAAUUGGUCACUUUUCUAUUAUAACGUAAUGUGAUUAGUUGACUAAAUAAUACAAGUGAGGAAUCCUGUUCGAUAGUUAGAAAAAUUAAGUAAAUAUUACACCUUUCAAAUAUUAAUCAUUAGUUAGUUAAACUAGUGGCCACGACAUAUUUUAUUUAAUAAUAAUAAUAAUAAUAAUAAUUUCAUUAGAAUAUUUUAUUUAAAUAAGGCAUUUGGAUUCCUCACUUUGUCAACUAAUUGCAUUUUCAACUGUAGUGUUAUUACUAUUAAUAGUAAUGAUAAAGAAUGAGUUGCUGCAUCCAAACUUUGAGCGGUACUGUUUGCUUUCAGGAGGAUGCAUUAUACAGUAUACACUCUCAGUUGUAUGGCCUAAGCAGAAUGUAUGGCCUAAGUUCUCAUCUGAUCACAGCAUAUUACUACACAUACUCUUGUGGGGCACGAAAAUGUGUGCUACACAGUUUAUAAUUUCCAUUUCUUCAUUCAGCAGUUGCUUUUAUCCAAAGUGCUUUAUAGCGUGUUUAUUCUGAAUCAAAACUUUGUCCUUGGCGUCAUUAGUGUCCUGCUAUGGCAGUUUAGCUAUGUGUGUGCUAUGAUGUGAUGACUUAAAUGCAUUCCCAGAAGUUUCCAUAAAGUGUAUUCAUAAAAAAGAAAAGAAAAAGCUUUUCUUGGUUCUAAUUUAAGUGAAAAUGAAAUGAUACAAACACUUUGUUAUUGUGGCCAAAGGCCUACUGAAUCAACCUCCACUGUGUUUGUUUUUUUUAAUACCAAUUGUUGGUUGCACACAAUUAUCUGAAAACUGAUCAUAUCUGCGGCUAAUGAAAUGCAGUCUUCAGUCUGUGGCUCUUGAGAUCACCUUUGUGAUUCAAUCAGUCUUAUGUGCAAAUGAAAGUAAUUUAAAGGAUAAAGCAAAGCAUUAAUGAUGAGGUCAUUUACAGCAGACUCAUUAAAACACUAUUAUAUGCAAUUUCCUGUAACAAAUUUCAUUCCGAAGAAACAUUACAUUGGAAAUAAUAAACUAGCUUACUGCCGUUUAAUACAAUUAGUGUAACAUAAUGCCAUUAUGAGCCUGAAAUAGAUGCUGUCGCACAGAAGCAACAGCACUAACCUCUGUCUAAAUGAAAGAAUAUUAAAGUCAGCGGCGGUAUGACGUCUCUUUGUAAUAGCCAUGUCUGGGGUGCAAUAUGACAGCAGAAAUAUAAUGUUUCAUAAACUGACAGUCUCUGGGUUUGUGUUGCCUGAGGUCGCAUGGGGCGAACAAUAAAGAGUAAUUUGAUUGAUGGAAAAUUGGAGUGGCCCAUCCAACAUGUUUCACCCGAGGCCUCGCAAUAGCAUGUACACUGGCUGAUGAUGUUUCACGUUUUCAGAAACUCCAUUUGUUUUGUUCGGAUCUGUUGCUGUAUCUGGCGUUGGGGUUCGUCUUUGAUAUGAGACUUUAAUUGUGCGGCACGGACGCAUAUUAGAGGUGUAAUUGAAUAGAAUGAAAGAAACAAAAAAGAAGAAAGCCGAAGAUGGAUUGAGUAAGGGCUCUUUCUUUUAUCAAGACGCCCAGGGAUCUUUUCACACUCUCCCACUCGCUCGCUCGCUCUCUCUCUUUCUCUCUCAGGCUGUGGCGUCUGGACUCUCUUCCUCUGAGUCAGCCAUGACAUCAGCAUCAGUAAAAACAGUUGUGAGUGAUAAAUAGAUGUAAAUUAUCAGGACCCUCAUCUCUGCUAUCCAUCAGAUGAGUCCAGCAUAAGAGGACAGAACGUUUGGAUGAGAAAACCUUUCUACCCAAACAAAAGCUUUUUUGUUGCAGUGAAUAUGUUUUUAAUAUUGAGGGGAAAAUGUCUUUCAGUGAUUGAUAAGGAAACAACAGGUUGAAAAGGUGCUGCUUUGCAACAGUUAACAUUUUUGUGGUCUUUUGUUGUCUUUCACCACUAAGAUUAUAUUUAUACAAAACACAUUAAGGCUGCUCUAUGCUUUAUUAAUUGUCAUCUAAAAAAUAGAAGUUUUUUUUUUUAAGCAUCUUGCGCCGUGGAUAUCUUCUUUUUAAGACCGUGUCAAGUUUAACUUUUAAAAAUUUGUUUGUUUAGCUGUUUUAAACAUAAUAAUGUGGCUUGUGUAAACAGCUGUUUAGUCUCAAGUUUUUUUGUAUGCAGGUUGCUGUUUUCUUCAUUGUGCAAAAUCCGCAAUAUGUCAUUUAAAGAGACAGUACACUCAAAAAUGAAAUAUUGUCAUGAAUUA